rnacentral:tRNA from 1 species
AAUGGAGUGCCUGAUUAAAGGAUUAUUUUGAUAGAAUAAAUUAUGUGUUAUGCACCUCCAUUA